rnacentral:lncRNA from 11 species
CCCCAAAAUGCUACUCAGUUAGCAGCUACUAUUUAUUUGCUGACUCUUAUUUAUUCUGAAGACAAUCCAAGACAUUUGGAUGAAUCUCUGUUAGAGAGAUGGGUAAACGGUUGCUUUUAUUUUGCAAAUAGUUCAGCAAACCAGAAAAAAUGUGUCUUCAAUCAGAAGUAGGAAACAGCAAUGCUAAAUCUAUUCACUCUCAAGGCAUCAAAUCCUGUUGGAUCUUGGAAGCUAAACAGCUGCUAUAUUUCAGAGGAAGGAACUGAUCUUGUGGGUGAGGUGUUGGUGCUGUGGGACUGGUUAUUCCUCACCUUCUGCUUGUGAAUACGAAUUUACACAACUAUCUCCCAAAUUUCCCCACACAUCAAAAUCAAGUAAGGCCCAUCUGACCAACAAGGAAUAUGCCUUCAGUGCCAGAACUAGUAAUGCUUCACACAUAAUCCUGUU